rnacentral:rRNA from 1 species
CCUACGGGAGGCAGCAGUGGGGAAUAUUGCACAAUGGGGGAAACCCUGAUGCAGCGACGCCGCGUGAGUGAAGUAGUAAUUCGUUAUGUAAAGCUCUAUCAGCAGGGAAGAAAAUGACGGUACCUGAGUAAGAAGCCCCGGCUAACUACGUGCCAGCAGCCGCGGUAAGACGUAGGGGGCAAGCGUUAUCCGGAUUUACUGGGUGUAAAGGGAGCGUAGACGGCAGUGCAAGUCUGGAGUGAAAGGCGGGGGCUCAACCCCCGGACUGCUGUGGAAACUGGACGGCUGGAGUGCAGUAGAGGUAAGGGGAAUUCGUGGUGUAGCGGUGAAAUGCGUAGAUAUUAGGAGGAACACCAGUGGCGAAGGCGGCUUACUGGACUGUAACUGACGUUGAGGCUCGAAAGCGUGGGGAGCAAACAGGAUGAGAUACCCCAGUAGUC